GAUGAACGCUAGCGGCAGGCUUAAUACAUGCAAGUCGAGGGGUAGCAAGAUUGUAGCAAUACAAUUGUUGACGACCGGCAAACGGGUGCGGAACACGUACACAACCUUCCUACAAGUGGGGAAUAGCCCAGAGAAAUUUGGAUUAAUACCCCGUAACAUAGCGAUGUGGCAUCACAUUGCUAUUAUAGCUUCGGCGCUUGUUGAUGGGUGUGCGGCUGAUUAGAUAGUUGGCGGGGUAACGGCCCACCAAGUCUACGAUCAGUAGCUGAUGUGGGAGCAUGAUCAGCCACACGGGCACCGAGACACGGGCCCGACUCCUACGGGAGGCAGCAGUAAGGAAUAUUGGACAAUGGACGCAAGUCUGAUCCAGCCAUGCCGCGUGAAGGAUUAAGGUCCUCUGGAUUGUAAACUUCUUUUAUAAGGGACGAAAAAAGGUCUUUCUAGAUCGUCUGACGGUACCUUAUGAGUAAGCACCGGCUAACUCCGUGCCAGCCGCCGCGGUAACAC
rnacentral:rRNA from 1 species